GACGAACGCUGGCGGCGUGCCUAAUACAUGCAAGUUGAGCGCUGAAGGUUGGUACUUGUACCAACUGGAUGAGCAGCGAACGGGUGAGUAACGCGUGGGGAAUCUGCCUUUGAGCGGGGGACAACAUUUGGAAACGAAUGCUAAUACCGCAUAAAAACUUUAAACACAAGUUUUAAGUUUGAAAGAUGCAAUUGCAUCACUCAAAGAUGAUCCCGCGUUGUAUUAGCUGGUUGGUGAGGUAAAGGCUCACCAAGGCGAUGAUACAUAGCCGACCUGAGAGGGUGAUCGGCCACAUUGGGACUGGGACACGGCCCAAACUCCUACGGGAGGCAGCAGUAGGGAAUCUUCGGCAAUGGACGAAAGUCUGACCGAACAACGCCGCGUGAGUGAAGAAGGUUUUCGGAUCGUAAAACUCUGUUGGUAGAGAAGAACGUUGGUGAGAGUGGAAAGCUCAUCAAGUGACGGUAACUACCCAGAAAGGAACGGCUAACUACGUG
rnacentral:rRNA from 1 species